GUAGUCUCGCACAGAUGCAUAUCAAUAAGCGGAGGAAAAGAAACUAACAAGGAUUCCCCUAGUAACGGCGAGUGAAGCGGGAAGAGCUCAAAUUUGAAAUCUUAAAGGGUUUCCCUUUACGAAUUGUAGUUUAAAGAAGUGUUUUCUGUUGAGGUUUUGGUAAAAGUUCUUUGGAAUAGGACAUCAUAGAGGGUGAGAAUCCCGUAUUUGACCUUUACUUUCAACUUUGUGAUACACUUUCAAAGAGUCGGAUUGUUUGGGAAUGCAGUCCAAAAUGGGUGGUAAAUUUCAUCUAAAGCUAAAUAUUGGCGAGAGACCGAUAGCGAACAAGUACCGUGAGGGAAAGAUGAAAAGAACUUUGAAAAGAGAGUUAAACAGUACGUGAAAUUGUCAAAAGGGAAGCGUUUGACACCAGUGUUGUUUUUCUGAAAAUCAAUUAAAGAACUGUUUAUGCUAAGUUGUUUAGACUUUAUCAGCUAACUGUUUAGUUUUGAGCUUUUCUUUAAUGCACUUUUCAGUUUAACAAGUCAACAUCAAUUUCUUUUGCUGUAAAAAAGCUUGAGGAAGGUGGCUUGAGAUUCGUCUUAAGUGUUUAUAGCCUCUUGCCUAUGCAGUCGGAGAGAUUGAGGUCUGCAGCGUAGAUCCUUCGGGGCUAAAUGCAUUUGUGCUAAGUUAUAGCAUUUUAUAGACAACUUGUUGACUAUGAUUUGUCUUGUAGCUUACUCGCUUAUGUUAUUUUACCUACGCUUAGGAUGUUGAUCUGUAGUGCGUGCGCC
rnacentral:rRNA from 1 species